rnacentral:lncRNA from 1 species
CAAUGACUGCAGUCCGCCCCACUACCACCAACGACUGCAGUCCGCCCCACCGCCACCAACGACUGCAGUCCGCCCCACCACCAACGACUGCAGUCCGCCCCACCACCACCAACGACUGCAGUCCGCCCCACCGCCACCAACGACUGCAGUCCGUCCCACCACCACCAAUGACUGCAGUGUUCACACCUCCAGGAAUGUCUCCUAACCACAGUCUUCCAUGAGAUGAUGCCAGCACUUAGCACAGAGACACAGGCAACCAGACCUGGACAAAUGAAAAUCACACUGGCGGGAGGCCAGUGUAAGUGACGACUGAUGGAGAGAGAUGGCAGUCCCUGUUUCCUGAGGCUUGAAAAACCCGAGGGCACCCUGGCCACACACUGUGGGAGCGCGGGAACAGGAGUGCGCUAUCCAGCGCGCCACAAUUUCUGGAGUCAGGUGUCUUAGCUCAACAGAUGCCGUAUUAGGAACAAACAUUAUGGCUCCACUAUCUAGAUGAGGCUGCUGCGGCUGAAGGAGUUUCAGUGACCGUGCCAACCCACGCAGUGGCAGAGGCGCUGGUGCUGCUCGGCUUGUAAACAGGUCAUUCCCAUCUCUCCCUCCGUCUUCACGUGGCCUUCUUCCUUCGGUGCCUCUGGG